GUGGGAUUCUCAAAGACAAAACACGUGGUCUUCGGGUUAAAUGGGGGAUUUUCAAAGAAAAAAUGUAUGAUUUUUGCUUAAAAGGGGGAUUCUCGAGGAGAAAGCGCGUGAUUUUUGGCUUAAAUGGGGAAUUCUCGAAGAGAAAACGCGUGAUUUUCGGGUAAAAUGGGGGAUUUGCGAAGAGACAACGCGUGAUUUUUGGUUUAAAUGGGUGAUUCUCGAAGAGAAAAGGCGUGAUUUUUGCUUAAAUGGGGGAUUCUCGAAGAGAAAACACACGGUUUUCGCUUAAAUGUGGGAUUCUCAAAGACAAAACACGUGGUCUUCGGGUUAAAUGGGGGAUUUUCAAAGAAAAAAAUUAUGAUUUUCGCUUAAAAGGGGGAUUCUCGAAGAGAAAGCGUGUGAUUUUUGCUUAAAUGGGGGAUUCUCGAAGAGAAAACACGUGAUUUUCUGGUAAAAUGAGGGAUUUGCGAAGAGACAACGCGUGAUUUUUGGCUUAAAUGGGGGAUUCUCGAAGAUAAAUUGCAUGAUUUUCAGCUAAGAUGGGGGAUUCUCGAAGAGAAAGCGUGUGAUUUUCGGGUUAAAUGGGGGUUUUCCAUAGAGAAAACAUGGCAUUUUUGCAUAAACGGGGGGUUUCCGAAGAGGAAACGCGUGAUUUUUGGGUUAAGUGGGGGAUUCUCAAAAGGAAAUGCAUGAUUUUUGGGUUGAGUGGGGGAUUCUCAAAAAGAAAGCGCGUGAUUUUCGUGUUAAAUGGGGGGCUCCGAAAAAGAAAAUGCAUGAUUUUCGCUUAAAUGCGGGAUUCUCGAAGAGAAAGCGCGUGAUUUUUGCUUAAAUCGGAGAUGUUAGAAGAAAAAAUGUGUGAUUUUCGCUUAAAUGGGGGAUUCUCGAAAAGAAAGAGCGUGAUUUUUGCUUAAAUGGGGGAUUCUCUUAGAGAAAACACAUGAUUUUUGCUUAAAUGGGGGAUUUGCGAAGAGAAAACGCGUGAUUUUUGCUUAAAUGGGGGAUUCUCGAAGAGAAAACACACGGUUUUCGCUUAAAUGUGGGAUUCUCAAAGACAAAACACGUGGUCUUCGGGUUAAAUGGGGGAUUUUCAAAGAAAAAAUGUAUGAUUUUUGCUUAAAAGGGGGAUUCUCGAAGAGAAAGCGCGUGAUUUUUGGCUUAAAUGGGGGAUUCUCGAAGAGAAAACGCGUGAUUUUCGGGUAAAAUGGGGGAUUUGCGAAGAGACAACGCGUGAUUUUGGUUUAAAUGGGGGAUUCUCGAGGAGAAAGCGCAUGAUUUUGGCUUAAAUGGGGGAUUCUCGAAGAGAAAACGCGUGAUUUUCGGGUUAAAUGGGGGAUUUGCGAAGAGAAAACGCAUGAUUUUUGGUUAAAUGGGGAUUUACAAAGAGAAAACGCGUGAUGUUCAAGUUAAAUGGGGAUUUCCGAAGAGAAAACGCAUGAUUUUCAGGUUAAAUGGGGGAUUUGCGAAGAGAAAACGCGUGAUGUUCAGGUUAAAUGGGGGAUUCCCGAAGAGAAAACGUGCAAUUUUUAGGUUAAGUGGAGGAUUCUCAAAGAGAAAACGUGUGAUUUUUGAGUUAAAUGGGGGUUUGCAAAUAGAAACCACGUGAUUUUCAGAUUAAAUGGGGGAUCCUCGAUGAGAAAACACAUGAUUUUCGGUUAAAUGGGGGAUUCUUGUAGAAAAAAUGCGUGAUUAUCCGGUUAAAUUGCAAAUGCUCUAAGAUCGAGCUCGUGAUUUUCGGGUUAAAUGGGGGAUUCUCGAAGAGAAAACGUGUGACUUUUGGGUUAAACGAAGGAUUCUCGAUGAGAAAACUCAUGAUUUUCGGAUUAAAGGUGGGAUUCAUGAAGAGAAAAUGCGUGAUUUUCAGGUAAUAUGGGAGAUUUGUGAAGAGAAAACGCGUGAUUUUUGGGUAAAAUGGCGAUUCUGAAAACAUAAUGAGUGAUUUCCGGGUUAAAGGGGGAAAUCACGAAGAGAAAAUGCGUGACUUUUGAG
ensembl:lncRNA